UAAUUUGAGAAAUGAGGAAGCAGAGUAAGACUGAACGGAGACUGCAAAUAACCAUUUUUUUUCACAUCACAAACACAGAAAGAUCAAAGUGAAUCACAUCUACGAUCUUCCAUAAAUAUGGGAUGAAUUCUCAUCGUCUCCAAAAAGCUGCUACUCGCUAAGUGGUCGAGAUUCGUCUGAUUUCUUCUCAAUUUCAAUUAUUCACCCAAAUUCAGUCAAUCUGGCGAAUUUAGGGGGGAUAAAUUUGCGGCCUCGCUUGGCAUUGAAGCAAACUCUACCGGGGGACCCAGACGACGAAGAGUGCCGACCGUGGCGCAGAAAGAUCUUAUUUUUCUCGCCGCAAUCGAUAACUAUGGCGUUCAAAUUUAGUUGGGUUUCGCUGAUGAAGGUUUCGCUGUUUCUUCUGCUGAUUGGGGCCAUUUUAGUUGCGUGCUUCACUCUCCCUGUCGAGAAGAUACUGAAGGAUUUUUUAGUGUGGAUAGAGCAAGAUCUUGGCCCUUGGGGUCCCCUAGUGCUGGCUGUUGCAUACAUUCCUUUAACGGUGUUGGCUGUUCCAGCUUCCAUACUGACUCUGGGUGGUGGAUAUCUCUUUGGCUUGCCUAUUGGUUUUUUUGCUGAUUCUAUUGGUGCAACAUUAGGUGCUGGGGCUGCAUUUCUUCUUGGCCGAACAAUAGGAAGAUCCUUUGUGAUUUCCAAGUUAAAAGAAUAUCCCAAGUUCCGAGCAGUUACAAUUGCCAUUGAGAGAUCGGGAUUCAAGAUCGUGUUGUUGCUCCGGCUUGUUCCUCUACUUCCCUUCAACAUGAUGAACUACCUCUUAUCCGUGACUCCAGUACCUAUUGCUCAUUACAUGCUAGCAACAUGGUUGGGCAUGAUGCCGAUCACUUUUACUUUGGUCUAUGUGGGAACUACAUUAAAGGAUCUUUCGGAUGUAACACAUGGAUGGCAUGAAUUCUCCAGAACCCGAUUGGCAUUUAUCUUCCUGGGUCUUCUGAUGUCUGUGGUGUUGAUAAUAUGCAUCACAAGAGUUGCAAGAUCUGCUUUAGAAAAGGCUUUAGCUGAAACGGGGGCCUCUCUAGAUGGAGAUGCCUUGCCACAAUCGUUGCCUCUCAUGUCCGCUCCUUCGGUCAACCUCCAUGACCCACUUAUAAUCAAGAUUGAUACCAAUCACGACAACCACAAACACUAGUUCAUCACGUGUAAAUUCUCUCUACUCCAAGUUUUCAUUUGUAACUACCCCAUCUGUACAGUCGGCAUCUAUAGUCCUUAUCCACAUCGCACUUGAUGGUUAUUCCAUGAGUACUUUAAAUUUCACUUCCUGUAAUUGUUCUUCAUGUCAAAGCUAGCACAAGAAGUUUUCUGAUCAAUGCAACGUCGACUUGUUUGAGACUGAUCGACCUUGCAUUUGAGUGCUCGAUUUUGGUCUAGAUUGAUGACAUUGCUUCCACAUUUGGUUUUGAUAUCAAUGUAGGACAGUUGAAGAUAACUAAAUCCACAGUUUUUACUGUUACACUUCCCACCUAAUGGAUGGUGGGGCUGGACCACCAUUAACAAGCGCGUACACUGUUGAAGAUGGAUAAUCUGUAUCUCUUUUUCAUCUGAAUGUAUUUAUCAUAUAAUUGGAGGAUACAAACUUAGGGAUUAAAAAAGUAAGCAUAAAGGCAAGAUAGCAAUGAUGGUAUCCAAACGCCAUGGACAAGCUUUGAGUGCAUGGGAUCAGACGCAGGUCUCUGGGCCCGGGACGAGGAUCUGGAACUGCACGGAGAAGACCAUUGAGCUUCAAGUAAGAGUCGGGUGUAUACUGAAGAAGGUUCACACGUUGAAGGCGGGGUCAUCAAAGAGGUUGAAGAGCAAGAACAUCUACAAGGCGUUCAUGCCGGGAAAGGCUAAGGGGGUAAAGGAUUUGCAUUACUACUAUGAUGAAACAUGCCAUCCAUACAUAUGGAUACAUGAUGCUGGGUGUGAUUUUUCUAGGAUGCUUAAGCAGCAGUAUAUUAGUCUUGAGGAUUUGAGAGAUUGUUCGGAGAUCAAAGUCUUUAGGGAUCAUCAGAGGGGAUGCAUAACGGUUCGUAAGAAAUCGAGGCCCGAUUUCUGUUGAUUUUAUGAUCCAGGAUUCUUGCUUCUUUGUUUCUUGUUUCUUUUCUUUUGUAAUUUGUCACUGUUGUUUCGUUCUCUUGUGAAUGUUUCUGUUAGAUGCAAUUUUUUGUUUUCAGAUGGAAGUUCUAAAUGUUUAUGUUGGUGACAACUCUUUUUUUACUCUGAUAA